UAAAAGAUAUUUCAAAUUUUAUAAUAUUUAUGGUGUUAGCAUUGGCUGAAACUGAAAUAGAUGUAUUGACUGGUGAGUAUCAACUGAGAACAAGUGGAUAUACUCCAAGAUGUUGGUCGAAGUGUUAACCCCGAACUGACGUUGGACAGGUUGAAGGAGGAUUUACGAUGGCACUUGGCUAUUGGACAAGUGAGAAUUUGGUUUACGACACAAAUAAGUGGCGAGCUGCUAACUAACCGUACUUGGGAUACUGGGUACCUCAAUCCGUUAGAUAUUCCUCAAGUACUAAAUGUGUACCUACAGAAGGAAAAUCCUACAGUACAGAUCUUGUGAUGGGAGCUAAAGUAGUUGGAGAACCGCCUACAUGUUUGGGAGUAGUCGUCCCGUUGGCGUUGAGAGCUGCUAUAGUAGAAGCGCGUCGUGACUCCGGACUACCUUCGACUGAGUGGUUCCCGAUAGGUGAGAGCACUGACUUUCCUAAGCUUCUCAAAUCAUCAAGUUUUGUGCAGCAAACUUCAAGUUGAUCUGUAAAUAAAGGACCAGUUUCACCAGUUUUUGAUAAGUGUUAAUCACAA
rnacentral:lncRNA from 1 species